AGUGAACGCUGGCGGUAGGCCUAACACAUGCAAGUCGAACGGCAGCACAGUAAGAGCUUGCUCUUACGGGUGGCGAGUGGCGGACGGGUGAGGAAUACAUCGGAAUCUACUUUUUCGUGGGGGAUAACGUAGGGAAACUUACGCUAAUACCGCAUACGACCUACGGGUGAAAGCAGGGGAUCUUCGGACCUUGCGCGAUUGAAUGAGCCGAUGUCGGAUUAGCUAGUUGGCGGGGUAAAGGCCCACCAAGGCGACGAUCCGUAGCUGGUCUGAGAGGAUGAUCAGCCACACUGGAGCUGAGACACGGUCCAGACUCCUACGGGAGGCAGCAGUGGGGAAUAUUGGACAAUAGGCGCAAGCCUGAUCCAGCCAGACCGCGUGGGUGAAGAAGGCCUUCGGGUUGUAAAGCCGUUUUGUUGGGAAAGAAAAGCAGCAGGUUAAUACCCCGCUGUUCUGACGGUACCCAAAGAAUAAGCACCGGCUAACUUCGUG
rnacentral:rRNA from 1 species